rnacentral:rRNA from 1 species
UACAGAGGGUGCGAGCGUUGUUCGGAAUUACUGGGCGUAAAGCGCGCGCAGGCGGCUUCCUAAGUCCGUCGGUGAAAGACCGGGGCUCAACCCCGUGUCAGCCAUGGAUACUGGGAGGCUGGAGACAGGUAGAGGCAAGCGGAAUUCCGGGUGUAGCGGUGGAAUGCGUAGAUAUCCGGAAGAACACCGGAGGCGAAGGCGGCUUGCUGGACCUGGUCUGACGCUGAGGUGCGAAAGCGUGGGGAGCAAACAGG